rnacentral:rRNA from 1 species
GACGUAGGGGGCUAGCGUUGUCCGGAAUCACUGGGCGUAAAGAGCUCGUAGGCGGUCUGUUUAGUCGGGUGUGAAAGCCCUCGGCUCAACCGAGGAAUUGCAUUCGAUACUGGCAGGCUAGAGUCAAGCAGAGGGAAGUGGAAUUCCCGGUGUAGCGGUGAAAUGCGCAGAUAUCGGGAAGAACACCGGUGGCGAAGGCGGCUUCCUGGGCUUGUACUGACGCUGAGGAGCGAAAGCUAGGGGAGCGAACAGG